rnacentral:snoRNA from 1 species
AAGGUCGACGAAGAAGAUGUUGUUUCUCACAUCCUCGCCGGACUCGACGAAGAGUUCGACCCGGUGGUCUCGGCUAUGUGCUCUCGAGUCGAACCGGUCACGGUCCCGGAGCUGUACUCACAACUGCUGAGCUUUGAGA